rnacentral:rRNA from 1 species
AUACGUAGGGGGCGAGCGUUGUCCGGAAUGAUUGGGCGUAAAGGGCGCGUAGGCGGCCUGUUAAGUCUGAAGUGAAAGUCCUGCUUUUAAGGUGGGAAUUGCUUUGGAUACUGAUGGGCUUGAGUGCAGGAGAGGUAAGUGGAAUUCCCAGUGUAGCGGUGAAAUGCGUAGAGAUUGGGAGGAACACCAGUGGCGAAGGCGACUUACUGGACUGUAACUGACGCUGAGGCGCGAAAGUGUGGGGAGCAAACAGGAUUAGAUACCCUGGUAGUCCACACUGUAAACGAUGAAUGCUAGGUGUAGGGGGUAUCGACCCCUUCUGUGCCGCAGUAAACACAAUAAGCAUUCCGCCUGGGGAGUACGGCCGCAAGGUUGAAACUUAAAGGAAUUGACGGGG